rnacentral:rRNA from 1 species
UGCAUGUGGGGCAAGCGUUGUUCGGAAUUACUGGGCAUAAAGGGUGCGUAGGCGGUUUGUUAAGUCACUGGUGAAAGUUUUCGGCCCAACCGGAAAAUUGCCUGUGAUACUGGCGAACUUGAGUGCGUGAGGGGUGGGGGGAACGAGCAGUGUAGCGGUGAAAUGCGUAGAUAUUGCUCGGAAGGCCGGAGCCGAAGGGGCCCCACUGGUACGUAACUGACGCUGAGGCACGAAAGCGUGGGGAGCAAACAGG